CCUACGGGCGGCAGCAGUGAGGAAUAUUGGUCAAUGGACGAGAGUCUGAACCAGCCAAGUAGCGUGAAGGAUGACUGCCCUAUGGGUUGUAAACUUCUUUUAUAUGGGAAUAAAAUGUUCCACGUGUGGGAUUUUGUAUGUACCAUAUGAAUAAGGAUCGGCUAACUCCGUGCCAGCAGCCGCGGUAAUACGGAGGAUCCGAUCGUUAUCCGGAUUUAUUGGGGUUAAAGGGAGCGUAGGUGGAUUGUUAAGUCAGUUGUGAAAGUUUGCGGCUCAACCGUAAAAUUGCAGUUGAAACUGGCAGUCUUGAGUACAGUAGAGGUGGGCGGAAUUCGUGGUGUAGCGGUGAAAUGCUUAGAUAUCACGAAGAACUCCGAUUGCGAAGGCAGUUCACUGGACUGCAACUGACACUGAGGCUCGAAAGUGUGGGUAUCAAACAGGAUUAGAUACCCGUGUAGUC
rnacentral:rRNA from 1 species